GCGUUGGAUUCUUUCCCACCUCUGCUGUGUCGUGAGAGUUUGGGGUCAGGAGAUGCUACAGAACCAGCAGGGGAAAUCCAGAUGGGUGGUUUUCUGCUAGAGAUAUAGAGAGCCCUCAUUUCUACACCUGUGUCACAACU